UAGAAAUAGCAUGUUUUUAAUGUAAUACGAAUAAAUAAACGUAUUCGAACGAAAUUCUAUUUACUUAUUCACACUGGCAAUUAAUAAUUCAACAUAUUUUUGGUCCUUCGAUAGUCGGAUGUGUGAAUAAGUCUAGUAUUAUAUCAAUUAAAAUAAAACUACACAAGGAAUCAAUCCAUCCACAAGUUUAAAAAGUGUGCCUAUCCAGUUGCCCAGUAAAGUUUCAAGACGGUAACAGCAACGUUCCGAAGAAUAACAAUUUGGUCGGAUGUGCAAUUAGACAAGAAGGUGCGUAAGUCACUCAGUCCUGUGCACUCCUUAUGGAGAAAGGAUUUCUCAAUACAUAUAGAUUACAAUUUUUUAUCUAUAUUGGGUGUCCCAACCGUUUGUAUACAGGCAAAAGUCAUCGCAUCGAAGACAAUUGACUUCUAUUAUCAUGUUGGUGGAUGGUCAAUGUAUUUCAUUUAUGUCAGCUACAGCUAUACAGGAAUUCUGUGCCAAA